GACAAACGCUGGCGGCAUGCCUAACACAUGCAAGUCGAACGGACAGACCAGGGAAGCUUUUCGGAGUGGAGCUGGAAAGUUAGUGGCGGAUGGGUGAGUAACGCGUGGACAACCUACCUUGUAAAGGGGAAUAACCUCGAGAAAUCGAAGCUAAUACCCCAUAAUAACCUUGCUUCGCAUGAAGUAAGGAGGAAAGGCGGCCUUAGCGCUGUCGAUACAAGAUGGGUCCGCGUCUGAUUAGCUAGUUGGUGAGGUAAAGGCUCACCAAGGCGACGAUCAGUAGCCGGCCUGAGAGGGUGAACGGCCACAUUGGGACUGAGACACGGCCCAAACUCCUACGGGAGGCAGCAGUGGGGAAUCUUCCGCAAUGGGCGAAAGCCUGACGGAGCAAUGCCGCGUGAGUGAAGAAGGCCUUCGGGUUGUAAAACUCUGUCCUUAUCGAAGAGAGAGUGUUGUAGUAACUGACAAUACUAGGACGGUAGAUGAGGAGGAAGCCCCGGCUAACUAUGUG
rnacentral:rRNA from 1 species